rnacentral:lncRNA from 1 species
AUGAUACUGAGGUCCUAGGGAGCUGUGAACCAUAUGCUGUGAGACAACACAGCUGAGCAGCCCAGCCAGAGCCCCCUAGGGAAGCCGUCAGAGGUCAGCAGCUCCCGUCUCCUUCCCUCUUGGCUCCUAAUAGGCUGGGACAGAACUUUGCCCUCCCUUCUUCCUGUCCCAAAGAUGCACAAUGAUAAUGAUGCUGAUGGUUAUUUAGUAAGAAACUUCGCAACAGGAACAGUCGUCAGGAGGGGGCACAGUUGGAUUCUCUCCAGUGAAGAUGUCAGGAUGGACAGAAAUGUCAGCGUAAUCCAAAGAGGACACAAACACCCCUGCUAUUUUCUUGUCACCAGGAAAAGGCCAGCUCUAGGUCUACUGGGGUUCAUCCCAUCUGAGCCAGGCCUGGCUUUUCUUGAUUGCAAGCUGAGAGCUGGGUCCAGGUCUGCUGAACCAAGAUUCUCCCAUCUUCCUUGGGCCAGUGACAAUCAGAGGCCUAUUUCUUUCAUGAUGGAAGGCAGGAGAACAAGCAGCUCCCGGCUCACCCACCCAGCAGCUCAGCACCUGUGAAAUCCGUCUCCCGAUGCACACUUGCUAACCGGGUGGGUGUGAGCACAACGAUGGGAAACAGCGGGAGUCCCCGGAGUGCAGACUCAGGAGUGAACCUGCCUGAAGAGUGGCGUCUAACGCACAAGCUGUGGUCACCUCCACCCCACUCUGGGUCCCGGGAAUAGGAGCAAGUGAGUAUUUUGCUUGCAGGGCAGGUGUUUCAUCCACAUUAUUGCAGGAACAGAUGAAUUUAAUUAAAAGAACACCACAGUGGGCACCUCUUCCAGUGAUGCCUCCCUCUAAGAACAUGACACUGAGAUGAUCAAGGUUCUAAAAGAGCGAUCAAAUUACUCUCCGAAAAUGAAACUGCUCAGACAGAAUGACAAUUAAAUUAAUAACAACCAAGACAAUGCCCAGAUUUCAUCUUAGCUCACAGCCCCUCCUGUGUGCUGUGUGAUCAGGUUCUUGGGGGUGGCUCCAGAUAUAGCAAACAGUCAGGAUUUAUCCACAAGAGUGAGCUGUCAGCAUGAGGUUCCCCUACAGUGGAGUUUGCCAAGGUCUGUGGCUCCCAGGGGAUCCGUUCCAGGGCUAACAGAUGAAGCAUGGAAAUGCUGUGUGGAGUGAGUUGAGCAGCCAUUCUCAGGAGAAAACAGACAAAUCCUCCUGCAUCCUGGCGAACCAGCUUUGUGGCCUGUUUUAUGUCAUCUUUGCUGAGCUCCACUGGGUCACCCCUCCUGCUGGCUUUGUGAUACUGACAUUUCAGGCACUGGCGCAGAUACAUUGGCCUUCCUGGCUGGGAUUCCACGGGUGGAGUGGGCAGUGCUGGUGUGGAGGAGCCAUGGCUGCACGGGGCCUGUGCUCUCAGCUGAUCAACGCCUUGAUAGCCGGGAAAGAGCCUGUCCUGACCCCAAAGGGCCCUCGCAGCACUGUUUGAAAUUGCUCUUGCCAUGUUUGGAACGGAUUCCUCAGUACGUUUCAGACUCAUUGUUGUGACUUUGGUUUCAAUCCAGGGACACACCUUGGCCCAUGGAGUGUCUCCACAGCAUCUCUGAUCGCUCUUUCCCAGAGACAGCAUCUCAGAUACCGAUGCUGAAAGGGAAACAGCAGCCUGUCCCCGGGUGGCAGGAAAUAGUCCAUUUUAACGGCAAUUUCAUAAGUGGCAGAUGAUUUUUAUUGUAAUUUUCUGGUGAGCUGAUUAAGUGGAGGCAGAGUCAGUUCUGAGGCGUCAAUAUCAUUAAUAACUUGGGGAGACCGCGGCCAUGCUCAGCAGGAACACUGAGUCCAUGGAAAACAGGCCCUGGCCUGCUGAUGUGCGUAAUUCCACGUUUGCCCCCCUUGUAACCAGGAUGGUAAAUUACAGGUGUCAGAUAAUCACGCUCUGGAGUGGCUACUUGAAAAUGCAAUCGACCAAUUUAAGCUCCGUCUGACACAUGAUCAAUAGCCUGUGAUGCUGCAUGGAAUUGCAGGCACAGCGUCCAAACCUGUAGAGCAGUGGCUCCCAGCUGGGGCAACUUCGCCCCCCAGAGUACAUUUGGCAAUGUCUGGAUAUGUUUGCAAUUGUCACAACUAGGAGAGUAGGUACUCAUAGGAUACACAGGAAAGUCCUCACACAGUUGUAUCCUGCCCAGACUGUCUGUAGAGCCAGGGUGAGAUGCUCUGACUUAGAGCCUCAGUGAACAUUGCAUUCCAUCAUCUGGGUAUCUCCAGGGAUGUAAGUAGCUGGAUGUCUGGCUUUUCAUCUGGGUAUCACCAGCCUCAUGCAGAACCAAAACCGUGUGCAAAUCGGUUCUCAUACUUGCUCUCCUGCCUCCUUCCUAUUGUAAUUUUUUCUUCCCACCUUUUUUAUUGUUACUAGAGAAAUGAUGAAGAAAAAGAAUAGGCUGGAGAGUCACUCAAAAUUUUGUUUUCUUCAAUUAAAAAGAAGUAAUUUGGAAGUUACUCAAUGAUGUUUUCUUUAAUUAAAAAAAAAAAGUAGUUUGGGAAAGCAGAAAAUUAAUGAAGACAGAAAACACAGGUUUCAUGAAAAAGUUCAGCAUCCCAGGAAAGGAGCAAAGAGAAGUCUGCAGAUGAGAGUUGUUCAGUGUCACGGCUCAGAAAACAAUACCCCAAGAUAAUGUUCAAAGCUGAGUGCUUUGAACAAAGGAUAUUGAAAGACCUCAGAAGAGGGCCUCAGAACUCACGUCUCUCUCUGACCUUCUCCUGUCUCUCCUUCACUUCCAAAGCAUGGGGCCAGGGGAUCUCUCUGGAGUUCCCUUAUCUGGCUGAGGGAUGUACUUCCAAAAGAAAUGUGACUGGCACGACCUCCUCCCUAGCAAUCUCUUCAAACAGCUGGGAAAGAUCAGUCACCUGGGAGGAGAUUGGAAGUCCUUACUGCACUCAGACAGGCUGUUGUCCAUACUUCUACAGACUUUAUCUGCAUAACAAGGCAACCUUUGUUUACCAUUCAGUUCGUCCCCUUUCCUUUCUAACUUGUCACCACCUCCCCCAAAAGUCUCAAGCCUCCACUCCUACAAGCUAUAAAGACUUCAACCAUC